GAUGAACGCUGGCGGCGUGCCUAAUACAUGCAAGUCGAGCGAACGGACGAGAAGCUUGCUUCUCUGAUGUUAGCGGCGGACGGGUGAGUAACACGUGGAUAACCUGCCUAUAAGACUGGGAUAACUUCGGGAAACCGGAGCUAAUACCGGAUAAUAUUUUGAACCGCAUGGUUCAAAAGUGAAAGACGGUCUUGCUGUCACUUAUAGAUGGAUCCGCGCUGCAUUAGCUAGUUGGUAAGGUAACGGCUUACCAAGGCAACGAUGCAUAGCCGACCUGAGAGGGUGAUCGGCCACACUGGAACUGAGACACGGUCCAGACUCCUACGGGAGGCAGCAGUAGGGAAUCUUCCGCAAUGGGCGAAAGCCUGACGGAGCAACGCCGCGUGAGUGAUGAAGGUCUUCGGAUCGUAAAACUCUGUUAUUAGGGAAGAACAUAUGUGUAAGUAACUGUGCACAUCUUGACGGUACCUAAUCAGAAAGCCACGGCUAACUACGUG
rnacentral:rRNA from 1 species